CCUACGGGCGGCAGCAGUGGGGAAUAUUGCACAAUGGGGGAAACCCUGAUCCAGCGACGCCGCGUGAGUGAAGAAGUUUCUCGGUAUGUAAAGCCCUUUUAGCCAGGAAGAAGAAAGACGGUCGCUGCCUCGGAUGCCUGUGCUUACUACGUGCCAGCAGCCGCGGUCAUUGGCAGGGGGCACGCGUUAACCGGAUUUACUUGGGUUAAAGGGAGCGUAGGUGGUAUGGGAAUGCUGAAGGGAAAUGCCAGGGCUUAAACCGGGGACUGCUGUGGAAACUGGUAGACUAGAGUGGGAGAGAGGUAAGUGGAAUGCCUAGUGUAGCGGUGAAAUGCGUAGAUAUCGGGAAGAACACCAGUGGCGAAGGCGGCAUGCUGGACAGAAACUGACGUUGAGGCUCGAAAGCGUGGGGAGCGAACAGGAUUAGAUACCCGGGUAGUC
rnacentral:rRNA from 1 species